rnacentral:rRNA from 1 species
UACAGAGGUCUCAAGCGUUGUUCGGAUUCAUUGGGCGUAAAGGGUGUGUAGGUGGCGCCGUAAGUGGGGUGUGAAAUCUCGGGGCUUAACUCCGAAACUGCAUUCCAUACUGCGGUGCUUGAGGACUGGAGAGGAGACUGGAAUUUACGGUGUAGCAGUGAAAUGCGUAGAUAUCGUAAGGAAGACCAGUGGCGAAGGCGGGUCUCUGGACAGUUCCUGACACUGAGACACGAAGGCCAGGGGAGCAAACGGG